AGUCUCUUCUUGUGUUAGUUGAUAGCAUUCAAAUGUGUUUUUAGCAAUUUGCAUAAUCUUUUGAGAACAUUUGAAUGUGUUUAAAUGACUUUCAAGUUCUGAUGUGAGUUUGAUAUUCACUUAUGCUUCCCAAUUAAUACCAAUCCAAACUUAAAUCCAAAGAUAUAGAUAAAAAAAGAAAAGAAAAUGAUAAGGAGUAGAGGAUCAUCUAAUACUAUAUAUCAGAAAGGUGUAGGUAUAAAAUGUUCUUCAUGAAUCGUAUUUUUGGUGUGUGUAAAUUUCUCUUUGUCCACAUAAGAAAAAGAAAGAGGGAUUGAAGAAGAAGAGAAUGCUAGUUUCUUCCACUCUGUUUAUCAAACAGUGCAUAAUAAUCUAUAUAAGUGUUAGGAAAAAAAAUGGGUGUGUUUGCAAAAUAGUCACUUUUUCAAACUUAAUUAGGAAAAUAGUCACUUUACUAUUCAUAAUUUGCAAAAUAGUCACUUUUCACUGUUUGAUUCGUACACUUGGAUUGUACAUCACUUUUAGUGUACAAAUAUAAAAUGUACGCUGUGUAUUUUUAUAUAUAUUUGUACACUAAAAGUGAUGUACAAUCCAAGUGUACAAAUCAAACAGUGAAAAAGUGACUAUUUUGCAAAUUAUGAAUAGUAAAGUGACUACUUUUCCAAUUAAGUUUAAAAAAGUGACUAAAUAGCAACUUAAGCCAAAAAAAAUCUAUGUUCAAGCACAAUGUUUUGAGAAUUUAGGGUAAUGACUUUCAAGUUGAGAUACGAGUUUGGAAUUCACUUUUAACAAUAUGUUCUUCAUGUUCUUACUUAUAAUUUACCUUACUCAAUAAUAAUAAACAUAUUUAUUUAUUUUUGUCAUUUAUUCACUUCAAUAAAAAUUUAUUUAUAUUGGCACCUGAUCUGAUUAAUUAAGUAAAUCAAUUAAGAAAAAAAAAACUAAAAAAA
rnacentral:sRNA from 1 species